rnacentral:rRNA from 1 species
GAUGAACGCUGGCGGCGUGCCUAAUACAUGCCAGUCGAGCGAACGGACGAGAAGCUUGCUUCUCUGAUGUUAGCGGCGGACGGGUGAGUAACACGUGGAUAACCUACCUAUAAGACUGGGAUAACUUCGGGAAACCGUAGCUAAUACCGGAUAAUAUUUUGAACCGCAUGGUUCAAAAGUGAAAGACGGUCUUGCUGUCACUUAUAGAUGGAUCCGCGCUGCAUUAGCUAGUUGGUAAGGUAACGGCUUACCAAGGCAACGAUGCAUAGCCGACCUGAGAGGGGGAUCGGCCACACUGGAACUGAGACACGGUCCAGACUCCUACGGGAGGCAGCAGUAGGGAAUCUUCCGCAAUGGGCGAAAGCCUGACGGAGCAACGCCGCGUGAGUGAUGAAGGUCUUCGGAUCGUAAAACUCUGUUAUUAGGGAAGAACAUAUGUGUAAGUAACUGUGCACAUCUUGACGGUACCUAAUCAGAAAGCCACGGCUAACUACGU